rnacentral:rRNA from 1 species
GACGAACGCUGGCGGAAUGCUUUACACAUGCAAGUCGAACGGCAGCACGGGUGCUUGCACCUGGUGGCGAGUGGCGAACGGGUGAGUAAUACAUCGGAACGUACCCAGUUGUGGGGGAUAACGAGUCGAAAGAUUCGCUAAUACCGCAUACGACCUGAGGGUGAAAGCGGGGGACCGUAAGGCCUCGCGCAAUUGGAGCGGCCGAUGUCUGAUUAGCUAGUUGGUGAGGUAAAGGCUCACCAAGGCGACGAUCAGUAGCUGGUCUGAGAGGAUGAUCAGCCACACUGGAACUGAGACACGGUCCAGACUCCGACGGGAGGCAGCAGUGGGGAAUUUUGGACAAUGGGGGAAACCCUGAUCCAGCCAUUCCGCGUGAGUGAAGAAGGCCUUCGGGUUGUAAAGCUCUUUCGGCAGGGAAGAAACGCUCUGGCUUAAUACGCCGGGGUAAUGACGGUACCUGAAGAAGAAGCACCGGCUAACUACGUGCCAGCCGCCGCCGUAACAC